rnacentral:rRNA from 1 species
GAUGAACGCUAGCGGCAGGCUUAACACAUGCAAGUCGAGGGGCAGCGCGAUGUAGCAAUACAUUGGCGGCGACCGGCGCACGGGUGCGUAACACGUAUGGAAUCUGCCCUUUACUGGGGGAUAGCCCGGAGAAAUCCGGAUUAAUACCCCAUAACAUGCUGAGUGGCAUCACUCGGCUUUGAAAGCUCCGGCGGUAAAGGAUGACCAUGCGCACGAUUAGCUAGUUGGUGAGGUAACGGCUCACCAAGGCUACGAUCGUUAGGGGGCCUGAGAGGGUUAUCCCCCACACUGGUACUGAGACACGGACCAGACUCCUACGGGUGGCUG